ensembl:lncRNA
GACAUCUUUGAGUGCGUUGAUCUACUUUCAACAGCCCAAAUGUUACUAGCCACAUUUGAAGAAUAAAGUCAUUGAUAUCAGGAAGUUAAAAGUGACAGUCUCAGUUUUGUGCUCCAGAACUGACUAAAGACAGUGGAGAACAGGAACCAGAGGCCUUAGGAGCAAGACCCAACAGGAAUGAAGACCACACAUCUCAGGAAUCAUAAACAUGCGGGAUCUUAGUUCCCUGACCAGGGGCCAGAUCUGUGUCCCCUGCAGUGGAAGUGCUGAGUCUUAAUCACUGGACUGCCACAGAAGUCUCUGAAAAGUAUUUUAAAGUGACCAAGACCCUAAGGCCUGGGAAUCAUAAGCAACUUGCCAAGGUCACAGUUCUGGUGAGUGUUGAAGCUGGAUGAUCCUCUCUCCAAAGUGAGCACUCUUAAUUCCUGUAUGAUGAUCCUAGAAUGUGUAUGGAUUUAUACUAUUCUGUAUAUCAAGUGAUAAGUCUGAAUGAAAGAAGACCCUAUGAGGGGGGAUUCUAGCCCUGCCAGAUGUGAGAACGUAUUUUAAAGAGCCAGUAUUUAACUCCACAUGGUAUUUCCUUAAACCAAAGUCUGUGAAAAGAAAUGGAGAAUUCAGAAAUAGACCAACCAAAAUCAAAUGCGUAGCAUUAACGUAGAUUUUACUAGGCAAAGGAUAAGGUAAGAAUUAUUUAAUAAAUGGUGAUUGCGUGAAGAACUGGUGAUGAUGGUGGUUACUUAAAAUCCGUAUUUUACUCCCACACAGCAAAAUAAACUUGCCAUGGAUAACCACCAAAGAAUUAAAAAUAAAAUUUUAGAAAACUAGCAGAAUGCAG